GGCAGCUUGGAAAUUCUGAAUGAAAGGUCUUUCUCCUGAGGUUUCAGGUACUUUCACUGUGGAUUGCAGCUUUAUCACUGAAAAUUCUAUUUUCACAAAUCUUUUGGUGGUCCCAGUUGUUAAAUUGGAAGAACUAACUCUUACAGUCCAAAGCGAGUACCUACAAGGCAUCUAAAUCCCAUUGUUAUCUUCAGACUAACACAAAAAGAGGCAAUGAGAAAACAAGGAUUUAUGUCAGACUGGAGCUCCUCAUUAUCAACCUGCUACCUUGAGAUUGAAAAAAGAAUUCCUGCAACUCGAUUCUUC